rnacentral:lncRNA from 1 species
GUUGCCUGGCUCCAUUCACCACCUCCAGGAUCCUGUCAGCCAGGAGCACUCACAUCAGAUGCAAACAUCUGGAAGAGAAUAUUCUAGAGUUUUACUGGAAGGAGAAUCACGUUGGAGCAUUGACUCAGAAAGACAGUUUCAGAGCAUUUGGAAGUAAGGACUUCUGGAUAUAAAAGAACAGAGUGAGGGUUCCUGUCACCGAAAAAGGAAAAGGGAAACUCAGAGGACAGAGAUAAACACGGUAAGACAUAUGGUAACAUAUUAUCUUGUCUCAAAUUUGACUUCAA